ACAGUCUGUUCUAAAUUGCGACUAUUUUCAGCGACGUAUUGUCUUUAUAUCAAGUAAAAUAACGCUUUCAUUUAUCGGGACAAAAGCUUAGUAAGAAGAUAAUUGGGUUUUGAGCAGACUUGUGGAUGAUUUCACUUGCCCCAGUUUUAAGCUUUCAGAGUUUUGGGUAUCCCUAGUGGGGAUAGCCAAAACACUAGGGAUUUGGGUACGGGGGUACCCAAAACUCAGGGAUUCCCAAAUCACUGUGACACCGCCAUUUUGAAAAGUGGAGAAGGCCCUUGGACGACAUUGAGUUUACCGCCGGCUAAGUGGGAGCUCUGCCGUUGACCAGUGGUUUUGAAAAGAGAGCGAUAUGAAAUCAUACACGUUCUGGACAUUCUUGUGCUUGAGCAUUUAUUUUAACAAAGCAGUGGAUCUAAGCGCGAAGAAUUCUCUUAUUUGGGGUCCAGGACUACACAGAAAGAUUGUUCUACCUGCGAGAUACUUCUUUAUCCAAGCAGUAGAUAAAGAAAACAACAACCUUACUGAAUCCCCAGGUGAUGAUGCAUUUGAUGUUAAAAUUACUAGUUCAAGCGGACGAGUUAGAACAUGGGUACAGAAGUUGGAUAGGCAGGAUGGUUCAUUCAUUGUACGCUAUCGACUAUUUGCAUCAUAUCCAGAUCUUACAAUUCAUGUUACCUACAAAGGCAAGAGUGUUGAUAGUUCACCAUACAGAUUACACGGAGGUGUGUACCAUGAAACUUGCUUUUGCCCUGAAUUGGAUGGAAAGAGGUGGAGAGAAAUUAUGAAUUGCCCGGAGAAGUACUCGCAAAUAGAGAAGGAUCUUUCACCCUUUGACCAAAUAAACCUGGAGGAACUAGCAAAAGAAGCUGUUGGUCGGUUUGGAACUCAUCAUGCAAUUUGUCAUUACUCUGUUAUUAAUAACCAGGUUUAUCACAAGUGUUACGGUCAGCAUGUGGGAUUUUCAAUGUUUAUGGAUAACAUACUCUUGUCUCUUGCUAGGAAGGUCGUUCUUCCUGACAUGGAGUUCUUUGUCAACCUUGGUGACUGGCCACUUGUUAAGCUCAGCACAAAUCCUCUUCCAAUUCUUUCCUGGUGUGGUUCAGAUGAUACCUUAGACAUUGUCAUGCCUACGUAUGAUCUCACAGAAUCUACACUGGAGACAAUGGGAAGAGUUUCCUUGGAUAUGCUUUCUGUCCAGGCCAGCAGAAGUCCAAUGUGGUCUGACAAGAUUACCAAAGCAUUUUGGCGUGGGCGUGACAGUCGAGAAGAACGGCUCAAGCUUGUUAUGAUGGCAAAAAAAAAUCCAGACCUAUUUGAUGCUGCACUUACAAACUUCUUUUUCUUCAAGCAUGAUGAUAUCAAAUAUGGUCCCAAAGUCAAGCAUGUGUCAUUCUUUGAUUUCUUCAAGGGCAAAAAAGGAAUGCCUACUCAUUAAUAAGAAGAGUGGUGCUUGUACUAUUGAAGGAAUGCUAGCGCUCUUUGAACAGUAAAACAAAACACUAUGAGAGAGUGUGCACAGUGGAAAUACCAGAUAAACAUUGAUGGAACAGUGGCAGCUUACCGUUUACCAUACCUUCUGG
rnacentral:misc_RNA from 1 species